rnacentral:rRNA from 1 species
UGCCUAACACAUGCAAGUCAAACGGUCGCAAGAUCGUGGCGAACGGGUGAGUAACGCGUAGGAAUCUACCUCGAACAGGGAAAUACCCAGCCGAAAGGUUGGCUAAUGUCCCAUAAUCCCGCAAGGGAAAAGGCGUAAGCCGGUUUGAGAGGAGCCUGCGUCCUAUCAGCUAGUUGGUGGGGUAAAUGCCUACCAAGGCUACGACGGGUAGGGGGUCUGAGAGGAUGGCCCCCCACAAUGGGACUGAGACACGGCCCAUACACCUACGGGUGGCAGCAGUUGGGAAUAUUGCGCAAUGGACGAAAGUCUGACGCAGCGACGCCGCGUGGUCGUUUACGCCUUUCGGGGUGUAAAGACC